GUGGGGAAUAUUCCGCAAUGGACGAAAGUCUGACGGAGCAACGCCGCGUGAGUGAUGAAGGUUUUCGGACUGUAAAGCUCUGUUGUUUAGGACGAAAGUGCCUGUUGCGAAUAGUUACAGGUAUUGACGGUACUGAACGAGGAAGCCACGGCUAACUACGUGCCAGCAGCCGCGGUAAUACGUAGGUGGCAAGCGUUGUCCGGAAUUAUUGGGCGUAAAGAGCAUGUAGGCGGGAAUCUAAGUCUGUUGUGAAAAUGCGGGGCUCAACCCCGUAGUGCGAUGGAAACUGGGUUUCUUGAGUGCAGGAGAGGAAAGGGGAAUUCCCAGUGUAGCGGUGAAAUGCGUAGAUAUUGGGAGGAACACCAGUGGCGAAGGCGCCUUUCUGGACUGUGUCUGACGCUGAGAUGCGAAAGCCAGGGUAGCGAACGGGAUUAGAAACCCGAGUAGUCC
rnacentral:rRNA from 1 species